CCUACGGGAGGCAGCAGUGGGGAAUUUUGGACAAUGGGCGCAAGCCUGAUCCAGCCAUGCCGCGUGCGGGAAGAAGGCCUUCGGGUUGUAAACCGCUUUUGUCAGGGAAGAAAAGGUUCUGGAUAAUACCUGGGACUCAUGACGGUACCUGAAGAAUAAGCACCGGCUAACUACGUGCCAGCAGCCGCGGUAAUACGUAGGGUGCAAGCGUUAAUCGGAAUUACUGGGCGUAAAGCGUGCGCAGGCGGUUAUGCAAGACAGAGGUGAAAUCCCCGGGCUCAACCUGGGAACUGCCUUUGUGACUGCAUAGCUAGAGUACGGUAGAGGGGGAUGGAAUUCCGCGUGUAGCAGUGAAAUGCGUAGAUAUGCGGAGGAACACCGAUGGCGAAGGCAAUCCCCUGGACCUGUACUGACGCUCAUGCACGAAAGCGUGGGGAGCAAACAGGAUUAGAUACCCUGGUAGUCCACGCCCUAAACGAUGUCAACUGGUUGUUGGGAGGGUUUCUUCUCAGUAACGUAGCUAACGCGUGAAGUUGACCGCCUGGGGAGGUACGGCCGCGAGUAGAACGUACAANAGAGUAGACGGCGUGAGACGUGCCGACGGACGACGACGAGGGAGGAGG
rnacentral:rRNA from 1 species